rnacentral:rRNA from 1 species
CCCUUAGAUGUUCUGGGCCGCACGCGCGCUACACUGAUGAAUUCAACGAGUUUUCCACCUUGACCGAGAGGUCCGGGAAAUCUUUUCAACUUUCAUCGUGCUAGGGAUUGAGGUUUGCAAUUAUCCUUCAUGAACGAGGAAUUCCCAGUAAGUGCAAGUCAUAAGCUUGCGCUGACUACGUCCCUGCCCUUUGUACACACCGCCCGUCGCUACUACCGAUUGAAUGAUUUAGUGAGGACUUCGGACUGGGACCGAUGCGGCUUUCGGGCUGCGUCGGUAUUCUGGAAAGAUGUCCAAACUGUAUCAUUUAGAGGAAGUAAAAGUCGUANCA